UCACACUACGGUUUGUUCCGUUACGCAAGUGUUGUAUUAAUUAGUACGAGCAACUUUUUCUGCAUUAAAACAUGAAACUAUUGUUGCUGCUGACAUAUCUGCAUGUAGAUCUUUGCUCAAGCGAAGUAAACGAAAUCAUAAAAUUGCUAUGGAGGAAAUUACCAUCAUAAAGGAUAUUGCCGUUCUUGUGAUCUAAAAAAAAUAAAUCAAUGAAGGAGAUUGAUAAAACGUGUUUCGUACCACAGUGACAUGUAUCUA